GACGAACGCUGGCGGCGUGCCUAAUACAUGCAAGUAGAACGCUGAAGAGAGGAGCUUGCUCUUCUUGGAUGAGUUGCGAACGGGUGAGUAACGCGUAGGUAACCUGCCUUGUAGCGGGGGAUAACUAUUGGAAACGAUAGCUAAUACCGCAUAACAAUGGAUGACACAUGUCAUUUAUUUGAAAGGGGCAAUUGCUCCACUACAAGAUGGACCUGCGUUGUAUUAACUAGUAGGUGAGGUAAUGGCUCACCUAGGCGACGAUACAUAGCCGACCUGAGAGGGUGAGCGGCCACACUGGGACUGAGACACGGCCCAGACUCCUACGGGAGGCAGCAGUAGGGAAUCUUCGGCAAUGGGGGCAACGCUGACCGAGCAACGCCGCGUGAGUGAAGAAGGUUUUCGGAUCGUAAAGCUCUGUUGUAAGUCAAGAACGGGUGUGAGAGUGGAAAGUUCACACUGUGACGGUAGCUUACCAGAAAGGGACGGCUAACUACGUG
rnacentral:rRNA from 1 species